rnacentral:rRNA from 1 species
UCGAACGGACUCAGCGAGAGCUUGCUUUUGCUGAGUUAGUGGCGGACGGGUGAGUAACACGUGAGCAACCUACCCUACAAUGGGGGACAACACUGGGAAACCGGUGCUAAUACCGCGUAAGAUGCGUUUGGGGCAUCCCAAGCGCAAGAGAGGAUCUUCGGAUUCGAUGUAGGAUGGGCUCGCGGAAGAUUAGGUAGUUGGCGGGAUAACAGCCCACCAAGCCCACGAUCUUUAGCCGGACUGAGAGGUUGAUCGGCCACAUUGGGACUGAGACACGGCCCAGACUCCUACGGGAGGCAGCAGUGAGGGAUAUUGCACAAUGGAGGAAACUCUGAUGCAGCGACGCCGCGUGAGGGAAGAAGGUUUUCGGAUUGUAAACCUCUGUUUUCGGGGAAGAAAUCUGACGGUACCCGGAGAGAAAGCCACGGCUAACUACGUGCCGGCAGCCGCGGUAACACGUAGGUGGCAAGCGUUGUCCGGAAUUACUGGGUGUAAAGGGAGCGUAGGCGGGUAGAUAAGUUGAAUGUUAAAUCCAUCGGCUCAACCGAUGUUCGCGUUCAAAACUAUUUAUCUUGAGUGAAGUAGAGGCAAGCGGAAUUCCCGGUGUAGCGGUGGAAUGCGUAGAUAUCGGGAGGAACACCAGUGGCGAAGGCGGCUUGCUGGGCUUAUACUGACGCUGAGGCUCGAAAGCGUGGGGAGCGAACAGGAUUAGAUACCCUGGUAGUCCACGCCGUAAACGAUGAUUACUAGGUGUAGAGAGGUUAAACUUUCUGUGCCGUCGUUAACACAAUAAGUAAUCCACCUGGGGAGUACGACCGCAAGGUUGAAACUCAAAGGAAUUGACGGGGGCCCGCACAAGCAGUGGAGUAUGUGGUUUAAUUCGAAGCAACGCGAAAAACCUUACCAGGUCUUGACAUCCCGUGCAUAACCUAGAGAUAGGCUAAGCCCUUCGGGGCACGGUGACAGGUGGUGCAUGGUUGUCGUCAGCUCGUGUCGUGAGAUGUUGGGUUAAGUCCCGCAACGAGCGCAACCCUUAUCGAUAGUUACUACGUGAAGAGGACUCUAUCGAGACCGCCGUUGACAAAACGGAGGAAGGCGGGGAUGACGUCAAAUCAUCAUGCCCCUUAUGACCUGGGCUACACACGUACUUCAAUGGCCGAUAACAAAGCGAUGCAAUGCGGUGACGCGGAGCUAAACGCUAAAAUCGGUCCCAGUUCGGAUUGCAGGCUGAAACUCGCCUGUAUGAAGCCGGAAUUGCUAGUAAUCGCGAAUCAGCAUGUCGCGGUGAAUACGUUCCCGGGCAUUGUACACACCGCCCGUAU